UAGGGAAUAUUGGACAAUGGAGGCAACUCUGAUCCAGCCAUCCCGCGUGAAGGAUUAAGGCCCUAUGGGUUGUAAACUUCUUUUCUCUGGGAAUAAAAACCUGAAUUCUUUCGGGCUUGAAGGUACCAGAGGAAUAAGCACCGGCUAACUCCGUG
rnacentral:rRNA from 1 species